CGGCGGGUGCAAGUCCCGCCCAGACAGGCACCGGAGCGUCUGGUAGCAGGCUCCCGGUGCGGCGAGAGAACGCCGCGGCCAAGCGGAGCGUGAAAAGCCUCUACGGAGCGAGCAAGAGCGCGGGCCGCAACAUGA
rfam:Deltaproteobacteria bacterium RBG_13_65_10 RBG_13_scaffold_5389, whole genome shotgun sequence.